UCUUCUGAACACAAGAGGACAGAAGCAUUUUACCUCUCCUUAAAAUGCUUCAGAGUCCUUGGCAAAAUAACACUUCAGUGAUUCCUGAGCUGGUAAAUUGGCUGCUGCAGCAGUUCCUGGCAAGGUCAGCACAGCAGUAUGUUGCAGGGCAUCCAGCAUAUAGGCUAUAAUAAUCUCUGCCAUGAUGCCACUGAUAUUCUUCAGGGACCUCAGGAAUGGAUUUGUCUCCUUUGCUUGCUGGCCUUUUGUACUCUAUGAAAAAGAUUUUCCAUUGUCCAUUUACGAAAACAGUUCUGUGUUUCCGUAGACAGCUGUACUGAGUCCAAAGGAGUGGCAACAGAUGCCUCAUCAUCCACUCCAAUUAAAGAAUUUUUAGAGGGAAGGAAAUCCUGCCAUGGUGCCUGAGUCACCAAGCUAACAUAAGAGACCAGAAUAUUUUUCCCAUUGCAUACUGAAUUAAUACAUCCUGAUAUAAUUAAAAUUUUAUCACUUUUUCUCUUA